rnacentral:rRNA from 1 species
GGAAAGGCCCUUCGGGGUACUCGAGUGGCGAACGGGUGAGUAACACGUGGGUGAUCUGCCCUGCACUUUGGGAUAAGCCUGGGAAACUGGGUCUAAUACCGAAUACACCCUGCUGGCCGCAUGGUCUGGUGGGGGAAAGCUUUUGCGGUGUGGGAUGGGCCCGCGGCCUAUCAGCUUGUUGGUGGGGUGAUGGCCUACCAAGGCGACGACGGGUAGCCGGCCUGAGAGGGUGACCGGCCACACUGGGACUGAGAUACGGCCCAGACUCCUACGGGAGGCAGCAGUGGGGAAUAUUGCACAAUGGGCGCAAGCCUGAUGCAGCGACGCCGCGUGGGGGAUGACGGCCUUCGGGUUGUAAACCCCUUUCAGCACAGACGAAGCGCGAGUGACGGUAUGUGCAGAAGAAGGACCGGCCAACUACGUGCCAGCAGCCGCGGUAAUACGUAGGGUCCGAGCGUUGUCCGGAAUUACUGGGCGUAAAGAGCUCGUAGGUGGUUUGUCGCGUUGUUCGUGAAAACUCACAGCUCAACUGUGGGCGUGCGGGCGAUACGGGCAGACUGGAGUACUGCAGGGGAGACUGGAAUUCCUGGUGUAGCGGUGGAAUGCGCAGAUAUCAGGAGGAACACCGGUGGCGAAGGCGGGUCUCUGGGCAGUAACUGACGCUGAGGAGCGAAAGCGUGGGGAGCGAACAGGAUUAGAUACCCUGGUAGUCCACGCCGUAAACGGUGGGU